rnacentral:rRNA from 1 species
UACGGGGGGGGGCAAGCGUUGUUCGGAAUUACUGGGCGUAAAGGGCUCGUAGGUGGUCAACUAAGUCGGACGUGAAAUCCCUCGGCUUAACUCCGAGCCUGCUUCCGAUACGGGCAGACUAGAGGUAGGCAGGGGAGAGCGGAACUCCUGGUGUAGCGGUGGAAUGCGCAGAUAUCAGGAGGAACACCGAUGGCGAAGGCAGAUCUCUGGGCCGUAACUGACGCUGAGGAGCGAAAGCAUGGGGAGCGAACAGG